GAUGAACGCUGGCGGCGUGCCUAAUACAUGCAAGUCGAGCGAACGGACGAGAAGCUUGCUCCUCUGAUGUUAGCGGCGGACGGGUGAGUAACACGUGGAUAACCUACCUAUAAGACUGGGAUAACUUCGGGAAACCGGAGCUAAUACCGGAUAAUAUUUUGAACCGCAUGGUUCAACAGUGAAAGACGGUCUUGCUGUCACUUAUAGAUGGAUCCGCGCUGCAUUAGCUAGUUGGUAAGGUAACGGCUUACCAAGGCAACGAUGCAUAGCCGACCUGAGAGGGUGAUCGGCCACACUGGAACUGAGACACGGUCCAGACUCCUACGGGAGGCAGCAGUAGGGAAUCUUCCGCAAUGGGCGAAAGCCUGACGGAGCAACGCCGCGUGAGUGAUGAAGGUCUUCGGAUCGUAAAACUCUGUUAUUAGGGAAGAACAUAUGUGUAAGUAACUGUGCACAUCUUGACGGUACCUAAUCAGAAAGCCACGGCUAACUACGUG
rnacentral:rRNA from 1 species